ACAAAGGCUCUUUUAAGAGCCACUCACACCUGCUGAAAAGGCUGA
rfam:Xenopus laevis strain J chromosome 5S, whole genome shotgun sequence.